rnacentral:rRNA from 1 species
UACGUAGGGUGCAAGCGUUGUCCGGAAUUAUUGGGCGUAAAGAGCUCGUAGGCGGUUCGUCGCGUCGAAUGUGAAAACCCGGGGCUCAACUCCGGGCCUGCAUUCGAUACGGGCGGACUAGAGUUCGGUAGGGGAGACUGGAAUUCCUGGUGUAGCGGUGAAAUGCGCAGAUAUCAGGAGGAACACCGGUGGCGAAGGCGGGUCUCUGGGCCGAUACUGACGCUGAGGAGCGAAAGCGUGGGGAGCGAACAGG